UACGUAGGGGGCAAGCGUUGUCCGGAUUUAUUGGGCGUAAAGAGCGUGUAGGCGGCCAUACAGGUCAGCUGUGAAAACUCGAGGCUCAACCUCGAGACGUCGGUUGAAACCGUAUGGCUAGAGUCCGGAAGAGGAGAGUGGAAUUCCCGGUGUAGCGGUGAAAUGCGCAGAUAUCGGGAAGAACACCCGUGGCGAAGGCGGCUCUCUGGGACGGUACUGACGCGUGAGACGGCGAAAGCGUGGGGAGCGAACAGG
rnacentral:rRNA from 1 species